CCUACGGGUGGCUGCAGUGAGGAAUAUUGGUCAAUGGGCGAGAGCCUGAACCAGCCAAGUCGCGUGACGGAUGACGGCCCUUCGGGUUGUAAACUUCUUUUGUCAGGGAGCAAUUGAGUCCACGUUUGUUCUUAGCUAGAUUACCUGAAGAAAAGGCAUCGGCUAACUCCGUGCCAGCAGCCGCGGUAAUACGGAGGAUGCGAGCGUUAUCCGGAUUUAGUGGGUUUAAAGGGUGCGUAGGCGGAAUAUCAAGUCAGCGGUAAAAAUUCGGGGCUCAACCCCGUCGUGCCGUUGAGACUGAUGUUCUUGAGUGGGCGAGAAGUAUGCGGAAUGCGUGGUGUAGCGGUGAAAUGCAUAGAUAUCACGCAGAACUCCGAUUGCGAAGGCAGCAUACCGGCGCCCAACUGACGCUGAAGCACGAAAGCGUGGGUAUCGAACAGGAUUAGAGACCCGAGUAGUC
rnacentral:rRNA from 1 species